CGCAGCCUGGAGCGCAGUGGCAGGAUCUCAGCUCACUGCAACCUCCACCUCCCAGGUUCAAGUGAUUCUCCUUCCUCAGUCUCCUAAGUAGCUGAGAUUACAGGCAUGCACCACCACACCCGGCUGAUUUUUGUAUUUUUAGUAGAGACAGGGUUUUGCCAUUUGGCCAGGCUGGUCUUGAACUCCUGACCUCAGGUGAUCCACCCACCUCAGCCUCCCAAAGUGCUAGGAUUACAGGCGUGAGCCACCACGCCCAGCUGGCACUGAUGAUUAUGAAUUCAGUGCCGCUGGGUGAGAAAGAUAAAUGCAGUUCUCUCUGUUUUACAUGCUAUACAAGCAGGAAAAUCAGGUUCGGGGCCAGACAGACUUGAGUUUGAGGCUCAGCAAUGCCGCUUCUGAGCUGUGUGGUCCUGGGCAAGUAACUUGACCUCCCUGCAUGUCACCUGCCUCAUCUGUGUAAUGGGAAUUACCAGAAAACUCACCUCUAGAAUUGUGACUUACCUCUAGAAUUACCUCUAGAGCUCCUUUGAGCUCGUGCUUGUAAAGCCAGGCAUGGGGUGGAUGCUCCAAUGGUCUCAUAGGAAAGCAGCAGCUGCUAAUGUCAAUAUUUCACAACUCCAUUGGGAACUAAGUUGGCAGUAGAAGAUGCCAUGUUGUCCCGGGCACCCAGGCAUACCCAUAAGCAAUUCUGGAGGAGGGGAGAAGUAGGCCAGGAGCCUCCGAGCCCUGCACCAGAAAAGGUAGGGACUGAGGACUCAGCCUGAGCCGGAGUCUCACCGUCGGUCAGGCUGAAGUCCAGUGGUGCCAGCUCGACUCACUGCAACCUCCACCUCCCGGGUUCAAGCGAUUCUCCUGCCUCAGCCUCCGGAGCAGCUGGGAUUACAGGCGUGCACCACCACGCCUGGCUAAUUUUUGUAUUUUUAGUAGAGACGGGGUUUCACCAUGUUGGCCAGGCUGGCCUCAAGUGAUCCGCCCAACUCGGCCUCCCACAGUGCUGGGGUAACAGGUGUGAGCCACCACGCCUGGCCGAUACUUCAUUUUUCUGGAGGUCAUUUACUUAGUAAGGCCAACUGGAUCCUGGCUAAAAAUGUGAAAGAAGACAGAAAGAGUCACGAGCAGUGAACAAAAGUCACGGGUCCUAGCACGUAAAAGCUCAAGUACUUGAUUCAAAGCCGAAAUUCUCAGGUCCUCAGUUGUAGCCUGGUUACCCUUACAAACACCAGUGCUAAAGAGCACGGUUACUAAUCUUUCCAGGACACAAGAUUUGAAAGCAUCUGUUUCGAAGGGAGAUGACCUGCUAGAGGAAGCUUGCGGGCAACAGCAAAUUGGGAGUUCGACUAGCACUUUCAGACUGGGAUGCAACGAAGAACUCGCCAGCAGAGGUAAGAGAUGGGCAAGAUGAAGAGAAUGAACUCUGAUUCUCGGAUAUCUGCCCGCAAGGUGGCUCCGAGAAAGCCAGCGGGAAACUGCAGCAUCGCGGAGGACUUCUCUAGUUCAGGUUAAAGAGACAGCAGCCAGAGGGAGCCGACCUCAAACCCAACUCCCGACAGCAACCUUGAGGCCACCCGAGGUGGCGCAUGCGCAGUGUGCGAGGUAGUGCUCUUCCUACCUGCCGACCUGCGGAGCCUUCUUACUGAGCAGGGCUUACGUCACGCAAGCGCCGCGGGUGUGUGACGUCAUCUGAGAGCGCCACGCGCGGUCCCGAAAACCUGAGCACCCUCUGGCUAAGGCGUUGCUGUAGAGACGGUGCGCCAGCCCCGCCCCCGAGGCGGGAUUGGAGGAAAACUGGACAGCUGACAAGGGUGACGUUUCGAAAGCGCGCGGGAGGCCGUGCUGGGACGCAGAGCCCGAAAACCUAUUUGAGGGGCGUCUUGACCGAAGGUGCUAAAUAUCACAUGUCCCCAUUAAAGUAAAAAUGCAAACUGCCCUAAUCGGAUUUCGUGUAAGGCAGGAGGGCUGGGAAGACUUAAAUGUAUCACUUCAGUAGUUUAGGGGUGGGAAGAAGAGUUUGGACCAGACUGGUGCCGGGAUAACCUGACCUUUUUGAGCCUUAACUUCUUCUCGAAGGGAUCGUUCCCAUCAGCAUAUAAACAUGUAAUUUCCCCCUUCCUGAGAACCCUGUGGUGGCUCCAGCUCCCACCCCAUCCCUUCGCUUUCUGAAUACCGUAACUCCUUGGAAGAGUGUAUAUAUUCUUUGUCCAGCUCUCUCCUCCCACUCUGUUGAACUCCCUCCAGCCAAACUCAGUCUCUCCCAAGUCCUCCUCUUACCUGCUCUAUCAGCAAUUUUUGAUACAGUUUAUCACCCUCUCCUCCGCAAAACUUUCUUCACUUGGCUUUUGGCAGUGCACACGCUUGUUUUUCUCCUCCAUCCCUGCCCCACCUUCUCUGUUUCUUUUGCUAGCCUCUCCUCUUUUUCCUGACCUCUAAAUGUAUCAGUACCCCCAGCACUGGCUCCUUGGACUUCUCUUUCUUUUCGCUUAAUCUCUUGAUGAUUUCAUCGGGUUUCAUGGCUUUAAAGACUAUGUGCUGAUGACUCCCCUCCUUAUAGCUCCAGCCUGGAAUUCAUCCUCAAGAAAAAUCCUUCUGGCUUCUCAGGCUGUAAACUUAGAGUUCUUCAUCCCGUGUCAAAUCUGUCAGCAGAUCCUAUUGGCUUUUCUUUUUUCCCCAGAAUCCGGUAUCCACUAACAGCAUCUUAGACCAAGCCCCCAUCUCUCACCUGGAUUAUUGUAAUUGCCUAGCUGGUCCUUCCUCUGCUCCCACCCCGUCAGUCUGUGUUUACAUAACAACCUCAGUAAUUCUGUUAAAAGUCAUAUCAUGUGCCUCCUCUGUGCAAAAACUACCAGGCCUCCUGUCUCAGAGUAAAAGCCAAACCUUUACCAUGGCUAGAAGUGUUCCACACGGCCAGGCCUCUGUUCUAGACCUUUCCUUUCUUGUCUCCGUUCUCACUUAACACCAGCCACAGUGGCCAUUCUGCCAGGCUUGCUUCUGCCUCUGGGAUCCUGAACUUGCCUUUACCUCUGCCUGGAACUUGUCCUCAGUUAUCCCCAGGGCUCUCUCCCUUACCUCCUCCAAGACUUGGCUCAAAUGUUCCUCACUGAGAAAGGCUUUCACCAACCUCCUGGUUUUAAAUUGCAAAUCAGACUCCCCCAAGCCCGCAUUCCCAUUCCCUUCCUUUUGCUCCAUUGCAUUUAAUGUAUCACCUUCUAAUAAACCGUUUAAUUUAGUUCUUUAUCUUAUUUGAUGUCCCUCUCCGCAUGAAGACAGGAAUUUGUUUCAUCAUUGCUCCAUCCCCAAUUCUGAGACAGAGUGCGUGGCACAUGAUAGGUGCUCAGUACAGGUCUGUGGAGAGAAUG
rnacentral:lncRNA from 1 species